GGCAGACAGUGCACCGGCAUCCCCUGGUACCAUCCUGUGAAAGGACUACUGCGUCACAGAUGUGAUGUGCUUCGAGUCUGUGUGUGGAACAGAAGGAGAGAAAGGAAGAUGAAGUACAUUGUAUUUGAUUGAUGCAGCUGCUGCAGUCUGGGGAUUAGUCUCACUCCAGAUCUCCUUGAGUCAAAGUCAAUGAAGGUACCGCAGUAAAGUCUGCCUGUAGCAGAUAUCACAGCGGCUCUCUCCCGUCACGACACAGCUGAGAAUUAAAAUAAUGGCAGUUAUCACUUAUUGUUUCUUUUAUUUUAUAACUAUAUUUUGGCAUUAUUACAUAUGUUUAGUGUUGAUGGCAAAUUGGUGGAUCCCUUUCUUUACACAUGAAAGAGAAUGAGAAAGGAGAGAGACAAGAGGAUACAUUUCUUGUGGCAAAUAUUUAAAAAACAAUGUAUGUCUACGAUGGUAUACAAAACAGAAAAUUAAACCUAUUUAGGAACUGAUUUGCAUAAUGCAAAGUGAUGGUGAGACCAGCCAGGCUUGAAGGCAAAUGCAGCUGGGAGGCUCAAAAACCCGAGUGGAAUAUUUGGUGUCUGAAAACUUUAACUUGCACAGACAUCCAUUGUAUGCCAGUGUGGUAAAAGAGUCAGGGAAAAGGGGGAAGGAUUUCCUUUCUGUAAGGACUUUGGCAUUCAAGGGUGUCCCUUCUGUUUUUUCUUCUUUAGGGGGAGGGUGGCUUGGGUUUUAUGUCAAAAAUAAAAUAGUCACACUGGUUUUAUGUGGUGAGAUUGUUUGGCCAAUAAAUUUGCAGUCAAUGUGAUGAAACUGGGGUAACUUUCUUCAUCACAAAUGAUAUAUAUUUAAAAACAAAUGGCUAGGGAGAGACUGUCAACAUAAUGAGUUAUCUGCAGCUUCAAGCUGAGUCACUUUAGAUUUGACACCUGAAAAAGAUGCAUCACACCUAAUGCUAAAUCGGUAUAGGCUACACUGUAUUGAAAAUGGGAAGUGGCAAAUUAUGCGAAUGAUGUCCUAUUAACAUUCUUUCCAUCAAGGCAAUCUUAUCCAUCAAUUUGCAGUAGUGUGCUGCAUUCCUUAAGCCAUUGGCUUAACCCAAGGAGGCCUCUAUCCAACUCUAUGUGGAGUCAAGAAGGGAGUCAAUAUCUGAAUUGAUCAAAUGCAGAAAGUAGCCUGAAUACUGAUCAUCAGUGCGGUAAGCUGAUUAAGUAAAGUAGGCUCUUUUCAAGUUCAAUUUAUGAAGUGUAACUUCUAAGAACAUCAUUAUUGAGAACAGGGCUGUUGCCCUUUGCUUCUGAACAUAAUGAUGAAGGUUAUGUUUUUCAGCAGUGAAAGCUGGUCCUAGAUCCACUCACAAAACUUAUGUCUAAACAGAGCUCCUGUACUUGGGUGGAAGCUGAUUAUGACCUGGAUAGGUGGAAAGAGACCUGGGCCAUUUUCAGAUAAAUAUAGUCCUCAAAAGCACAUUGUGUUCUAGAGGCGAUGGGUUUAAAGUAGGGUAUCCACAGUGUUCUCUGUGAGGGCUUUGUUAAGACAGCAUUACUCUGCAGAAGCUUAACUUUUGGACAGAGCUACAUACAGACUAACAUUUCUGUUUUUUAUGCAAUGUGCAUUUCAUUUAACAGUUUAGAAUUUAAGUUCACAAUUUUUCAGUAACUCUGUCUGUUUUUACAUGCUACAAAUAAAUCAUAGACAUAUAUAAAUAAUUUAAAUUUAAACUAUUGUUAAUUCCUUCUUGGUGUUUACUGAUAUGCUUUGUAAAACAUGCCAUAUGUACAGCAUAUUUUUGCACUGGAUUUAACCAGCAAAUGUUUUAAAGGGGUCAUAUGAUGUUGCUAACAAGAACAUUAUGUUGUGUA